UCGAGCGGAUGACGGGAGCUUGCUCCUUGAUUCAGCGGCGGACGGGUGAGUAAUGCCUAGGAAUCUGCCUGGUAGUGGGGGACAACGUUUCGAAAGGAACGCUAAUACCGCAUACGUCCUACGGGAGAAAGCAGGGGACCUUCGGGCCUUGCGCUAUCAGAUGAGCCUAGGUCGGAUUAGCUAGUUGGUGGGGUAAUGGCUCACCAAGGCGACGAUCCGUAACUGGUCUGAGAGGAUGAUCAGUCACACUGGAACUGAGACACGGUCCAGACUCCUACGGGAGGCAGCAGUGGGGAAUAUUGGACAAUGGGCGAAAGCCUGAUCCAGCCAUGCCGCGUGUGUGAAGAAGGUCUUCGGAUUGUAAAGCACUUUAAGUUGGGAGGAAGGGCAGUAAGCUAAUACCUUGCUGUUUUGACGUUACCGACAGAAUAAGCACCGGCUAACUCUGUGCCAGCAGCCGCGGUAAUACAGAGGGUGCAAGCGUUAAUCGGAAUUACUGGGCGUAAAGCGCGCGUAGGUGGUUCGUUAAGUUGGAUGUGAAAGCCCCGGGCUCAACCUGGGAACUGCAUCCAAAACUGGCGAGCUAGAGUACGGUAGAGGGUGGUGGAAUUUCCUGUGUAGCGGUGAAUGCGUAGAUAUAGGAAGGAACACCAGUGGCGAAGGCGACCACCUGGACUGAUACUGACACUGAGGUGCGAAAGCGUGGGGAGCAAACAGGAU
rnacentral:rRNA from 1 species